AGCCUUAGGGAUUCUGCGAGAUGACAUAUACAAAGAAAUGAAAAAUAUAGACUAUAUAAAUUUUUUUUGUUUAUAAAUUUUGUCCAUACUAUGCAUAAAGAGGUAAUAUUGCUUAAUUCUACUUAGAGAACUCACAAAUCUCCCCCUAAGCAUAGCAAAAUGGUACGUUCGGAAGCAAAGUCAGGAAAAGAAAGGAAGGCGAGGUGAAGGGGGAGGGGAGACGGCAGAGCGACCGCGAUCCAUUGGUGUGCAUUUGCGAGGGAGGAGAGUAGGCCUAGUUCCGGAGCUCACCCCUCCCUCCCCCGGCGUGGGAGGAGAGGACAGAGAGUUCUACUCAUGGAACAUCAGGAUUGUAGACAAGGUGGUAUAGCCAAGCCAGGCCAGUCCAGAAGUCCUGAGAAACCAGAUGGCCUGGGACUUCAGCCUAAGAAGACUUAUGGACUUGAAACAGGGACCAUGCCCUAGGUGAACCCAAAAACCUAAACUUCUUCCUUUCUCCAGAGACUGCGUGGAGAAGGAUUAUGCCUUCACGGAUGUAUAUUUAUGAUGAUACCUUCUGAAGUAACUAUUCCUUUGUAAAAGAUCCUAUAUUACAGAGGGAAAUCCUCGUUUAAGAAAUGGGUAUUGAGGGAGUGUCAACUUGGAAUAUAGAAACCCCAAUCUUGAGAUUACUUAAGAAAGCUGAAGAACUCAAGCUUGACCUUGUCACAUGAGAAUUUCUCCAGAGGGAAAUCCCAACUUCACAAGUUUCAGACUAACAAUAAGCCUUUUAAGUAUUUUAGGUGGAGUUGGCAGACUUAAUCAGAUGUGAAGUACUCUUUUAUGUUUCUCUCUUUGUGUCAAACACAACUGGCAUCCCAUGUCCCAUAUGCCACAAACUGUGCCUCAGCCUUUGGACUUCAAAGCCACAUGAGGGUACAUCAAUAGAUGAUAAUGCACAAAGACAAUUGUCAUUCUCAGUAAUGGAGAGACUACCACUUUGUGUCAAAGUCCUUUCUAAGUAGUCUUAGUCUAAGGUCUAAGAAAAUUGUGUAGAAAUCCUCUCCUGAUUAAAGAUGUGAUUUUUCUGAGUAUUAAAUUGCUCUGUGUUUUUUCCAGUUUAAGAGGAGGGUGGGAAAAUUUUGGAAUUCAAUUUUGGAAAACAAAUAUUUUAAAAUGUUAUUGUAUGUAAUUGGAAAUAAAUAUACAUAUACCAAAAAAA
rnacentral:lncRNA from 1 species